AUGGAGGAGGACGAGGCGGGCGCGGAGCCGCGGGGUCCCCCCGGGCGCCGCCGCUCGCCGAGCCCCGGCCGCCUGGACGUGAGUUCCAGCCGCUUCGACCCGCUGCUGGCGCUCUACUCGCCCCGCACGCCGCUGCCCUUCCCCGCCGCGCCCUGCUUCAACAACCUCGCCGAGUACGAGAGCUUCCAGCGCGGCCUGCGCCGCCCGCGCGGCCGCCGCGCCGCCCCCGCCCGCCGCGCCGCGCCCGCCGCCCGCGGGGCCCGCCGGGGCCCGGCCGCCGCCGACCCCGAGCGCAUCCAGCGGCUCCGCAGCCUCAUGGUGAACGCGGGCCCCGAGCAGGACGCGGCCGAGGGAGGAGCGGCGGCGCCGCGGCGGCGGCGGGCACCGCGCAAUGUCCUCACCAGGAUGCCCCUCCAUGAAGGCAGCCCUCUGGGGGAACUUCAUCGCUGUGUCCGAGAUGGUGUCAAAAUCAAUGUUCACAUCCGCACUUUCAAAGGGCUUCGUGGAGUCUGCACAGGGUUUCUGGUUGCAUUUGACAAAUUCUGGAAUAUGGCCCUGACAGACGUGGAUGAGACUUACAGGAAACCAGUAAUGGGCAAAGCUUUCUAUGCAGAACCUCAGCUCACACUGACCCGACUGUUUGACAGACUCAAACUUCAGGAGUCCUCGGGGAAGAAGGGAGCUGACUCAAAGACUGUCUCAGAGGAGCUGGCCCUGACAAGUGACUCUCAGACACUGGGAUCAAAAGUUGGGUCAGGACGAGGGAGAGCAGAAGAGGAGCCUGAGAGGCAGAAACACUCGGGCAGAGCUGGAGAAAAGAAGACGCCAGGUGACAGUUUGGUUGCCAGAGGUGAAGCUGAUGUGGGCAGCAGGACUGCCCACACAGAGGGUGCCAGUGCUGGUGGCACCCGUGCACGAAGCCAGUCCCGGAGGAGAAGGCGGCCCAAAGUGGAUUAUCAACAGGUGUUCACACGGCACAUAAACCAGAUUUUUAUUCGAGGAGAGAAUGUCUUGCUUGUCCAUUUAGCACAUUGACUUGGCUGAGCUUUGGUCAGUGUAUUUGUUUGAUAGCAUGACUUGCUGCUGCAGCUCCCAUUGCUAUUUAAAGUUGUCAUCGAGUUUGAUGGUACCAUGGCUGGUUUCCCAUUGCCAUAACAAGGUAGGGGAAAUAAUUGUAAGUAGAGCAUCCUGAGCUUGAUGCCAGAGCAGCUUCCUUAGAUCCCUGUUGGGGGUUUCAGGACAAGGUCAGCAAUGGAGUUGUUUCUGUGAUAUGAGGGAGGUAAGCACAGAUCCCAGUGCUCCUUAAAAAGAAGCUAAAUGGAGAGAGUUGGAAGAGAAUUUUGGUGUAAUCUGUUAUAGGAGCUACUUGUGGCACAUGUUUAAGGAGCUUAAGAUAAGAUCUCCACCUGCAAUGAAUCAGAAAUGCUCUUUUGCACGUUCUGAGAAAUCUCAAGAGGAGAUUGCUAAUGAAACCAAUAGUUUAUCUGCUGCUGUUACAUGGGUGUCCUCUUUUCCAGACAUAAUUCUGAGAGUCAUUUUGAAACAGUUUGUAAAAAGAUGGAGUGACAUACUGCUGAUGGCUAUUGCCCUGUGUGAUAGAAAACCUCUUAAUUGAAAACUGCUCGUCUAAUGUGAGUGAUGACAGGACUGUAAUUUGUUUUCCAUAUCAAAGCUUGGGCUUCUCUUUGUAGUGCUGUGCUUUGGCCCUGUGUCACCAGCAAGCAGGUGAUGUAGCUGAUCCAGGGCCCUCCAUAUUUGGGGUUUAUCUGUGAAUGCUGUGGAUGCAGAUGGAAAAUUGUACUGUUACAUUUCAUCCAUAUACUACUUAGUGUAAUAGUGAAGCUGGCAAAGGUGUAGGGUUUUUCUCAGAUGUGUUUGUGCUGAGCACACUUGUACUGUAUCUAAGAGCCUUUCAAGCUCUCUAUUGAAACUAGAGGUGCUGUGUCUCCAGCAAUUCCCAUGGAGCAGAAAUCUUCAUGGGUCUUCCCUGUCCAUGUGAAUGAUGCAUCAUCUAAUUCCAGUUGAACUGAGCUUCAGAGGUGUGGCUGAAAAUGUUUUGAAGUAUAAAAGUCAAAGUCAACUCAUCAAUGUUUUAUUUUAACAAGACUAUUAAAGCCAGGGUUCUGCAGAUAUAAACUGAUUUCCAAGAGAGUCAUGUAGAGAAGUUUCAGGGUAAAUGAAGCUGUUACAUUAUCUAGUCUAUUCACUUCAUUGUCCAAGGACAGUAGAAUUCAUGCUGCUAUUCCUGUAUUCAUCUCAACUGCCUUGUGCUUUGCAGCAGCUCCAUGUGUUUAGGAUGAAGUUGGGAAAUUGCUUUAUAUCAGUCUUGUAUUGCAUAUAGGGGUUAUAAGUUCUCAAACUGAGUGACUGUUCUGUGGGUGGCGUAGAUGUCUGCUGCUGCAAAUGCAGCAUUCUGCUUGCUUGUCGUUAGGGGGAUGUCUGGUGUUUGGGUGAAUCACAGAAAUCAUUUAGCAGGAGUUCCUGGACACACAAAACAGCUGGUUUUGCCUCUGGGGGAGCCUGAAGCUUCUGUCAACAUUUCAUGUGACAGGGGGCUUGGACAGCUGAUGAGCUGAGCCAGUGAGCUGCAAACCCUAGUUCAGCCUGGGACAGAAGUGCUUCAAUAAGAAUAAAAAGUACUGUUGAGGCAAAACAGUUUCAUCAAGAGCAAAAAAGAAAAGAAAAAAGUGAAAUACUAUCUACAGCUUCUUAUUAUACAUUGCUUUAUUGUAAUCCCUUCCCACUAUGAGCUGAGACCACUGAAAAUAUUCUUCUCUUAGAGGUCUUGUUUCCUCUCCUGUGCUGUUCUUGUUUGUGUUCCUGUGCUCUGCAGUUUUUCCCUUUUUUUCUUCCCCCUUUCUCCUGUCAGUACUUUGUCUCUUCAGGAUGUUCUAAACCCUGGUUUAUGAAGACUGUUCUUGUAUUCAUCCCUAGUUGUUCUGGCUUUCUGAACCAUUCCUGGUUGGCUUUUUGUGUGGUUCCCAACUAACCAGAACCCUCACAAAUUACUAGAAACAUGUGAAGCUAGAAACAAGGUGCUUAUUUCUGCUCCUGACUUCCCAGCAGCUUUUAUUGCAAGUGAAUAUUUUCUUCGUUCUGUUUUUGAUUGUGGGGUUUUUUCCCCCUCUCUUUUCUGGCAGCUUUGUUUUUAUUUCAGCUCCUUAGGAUGACUCCUCUCUGCCUUUUCCAUUCAUGCCAGAGGCUGCUGGUUUUGACUUCUCCUCUUUCCUUCAUAUUUGCCCAAAGGAUGUCAGACUACCCUCAGGCCUGUGUACUACGACAUCUAAUUGAAUUCUUGCUUUUCUUUACCUCAUGUUCUUAAUUCUGUUUGUCUGCUUUGUAUUGCCUUGUGCAUUAAACAGGGUACAACUGCCAUGAAUAUUCUUGUGGCUGUCCAGCCCUCUUUCCUUGUUGAUUGACACUUCCCCAAGUUCUCAGUUGCUACUGGAAGUCUCAGUGUUUCCUUUUAUCAGAAGGUUUUCUCUGAAACCUUGCAGGUGUUUGUUGCUUCACAUCUACAAGUUCCUUUGUUUGCAUUUUAUGAAAAAUACUGGUGCUUAGACUUGCAUUUGUGCCUUGAUUUUUGUAUCAUCCCUAACCUGUUCUUCCAGAAUCAUCACCUUGGUCAGCAAACCUGGUUAAAAACUAUAGUUUCUCUACUUUUUUUGCACUACCUCAUUACUAAAAUGUUCCUCCUCUUAUCUGUGAAGUUGGUUAAAAUUCUCUCUUCCAAUUUAGAUUCUAUGGUUUAUUUGUUGGUUCUUUGUUUGUUUCCUACUUUCCUGUCCACCUUUCUCCUUAUUUCCAAGCUGCUUCCUAAAUACAGCUGCCUCUUCUACAACUUCAGAUCUUCCAAAAUGUCUUCCUUUUCCCACUUUUUCUGGCAUUAAAGCGCAUUAUUAAAACGGUAUUUUAUGGAUUUUGUCUCUUUCAAGCAUCAUGAUUGUGAUUAAGCAAGUGAUCCUGUAUGUGUGUUGUCACUUGCAUGUUUAAAACUUUAAAUAAUGUUGCUCUUUAAAUAAAAUUGAAUGUCAUGUUCUGAAAUGCAUUCUUCUACCUCACCUAAGUAUUCACAUAAAUCUGUUCCAAAAAAAAAAAAAAAAGAAAACAACCCUUGGAAACAAAUGAGCUUUGUUUUUGUUGUUGUUUUUUUUUUUCCCUGGGUUUUUCUGUCCAUGUUUUUUUUUCCAAACUUAUGUUUCCAAACAAAUGUUUGUUCAAAAAGCUGUCUGCUCCCAGCCUUCCCUCUCUUGGUUGCAGUGUCACAAAGAUGCUGCGAGCAAAGACACACCAAAGGAAUGAGGAGUAGGAGCAGGAGGCAGUCCUAGGAGACACAAAGAUGUGUGAGAGCAAAAAAGGUUUGGGCAGAUGUGAAGAACCUCUGAAAAGGAUCCACCGGUUCCCUGUCCCAUAUUUCUAGGACUUUGCUCAUCCUGGUGCUUAGUGGUGUUUCCUAAAGUCUGUUUGUGGUGAGGUACCGAAUUAUAGGGAGCAGUUUUCUGAACUAAUUUUGAAGGAGUGUUGGGAUAAUUUGAGAAACUUUUCGGAUAAUUUCUAAAACAGCAGACAAAUCCAAAACUUGUGAAAUGUGGCGAUGCCAGGUGCAGAAAUGAUGUAAUGCCAUGGUCUUGGAACGUGGUGUCACAGAGAUAUCUCAUGGUGUCAUGGUGUAUCUUUCCAUUCCCAACACAGUCCAGCAGGGAGCCAAGUCUCAGUUUUAAGAGUGGCAGUUUUAUUUGUACAGUGAAGUGUUUUUGCCCAUUUUUACCUAACACUUCUUAACCAGGGCUGUGGUAGUAGAAGAGUGCUAGGUUUUCCUUGUUUGCUGUUGCAGCCACCCACUUGCAUCUGUGAAUCACUGUGGGUGAAGAGGUGUCCAGGAAAAGAGAGGCAGAGAAAAAAAGGUGUCUAAUUUUUAUUGAAUUUGACAUUCUGUCCAACAAGCUGCCUACACUCACCCUUUCUGUUUCUCACUGCCACUGACCUAAAUGACACAGGUGGGAAAUGACUUCAUCCAGGGUCUUGAAGGAAAAUGGAGAAGCAGCAGGGACAGCAAACUGAGCUUUUGAAGAUGUUUAUCUCCAGGUGAACUUCCCAUCUCUGAUUAAACAAAUCAGUUAUAACUACCAAAUUACACUGCAAGCUAUGCCACUGGAUAAAACUGGAAGGCACAGUAUUGCACCUUUUCAGGAGUGAUGCAGUGAUUCCUUCAGCCAGGCAAGCUCUUCCCUGAGAAGCUGCUGAGGCAUAGGCCAGUGUCUGCAGAGCAUAACUGCAAAAUACUGCCAAUUACUAUGAAGAUUUUUGUCUCCUGCCUGCACAGCCAAGUGCAAAACAAAUGCUGAGGUCUGCAUCAUCUGCAGCCCAGAACUAUUUCAGUUCAUGCUUUUGCUUCUUGACAUUGGCUUAAAAAUUUGAGGUGUGUACUAUAGCAAUCCUAGGACAGCCUUCGUUAUAACAUUAUGAAAAGCUAUUACUUACUAGAAAUAGUAUUGGAAAACUAGAGUAUUACAGAAUUUGUGGAAUUCUUAUUGUAAUUAAGAUAUUGCAAACCAGGAAAGGCUGAGAGAAUUAAGAUUCUCUCAGCUGAGACAAUUAGGGAUGACCUAAUUGCAGCCUUCCAGCACCUGAAGGGAGCCAACAAGAAGGAUGGAGAGAGACUAUUUACAAGAGUAUGUAGUGACAGGACAA